UACGUAGGUGGCAAGCGUUGUUCGGAAUUAUUGGGCGUAAAGGGCGCGUAGGCGGCUUGUUAAGUCGGCUGUGAAAGCCCGGGGCUCAACCCCGGAGGGUCAGCCGAUACUGGCAGGCUAGAGUACGGAAGAGGUAGCUGGAAUUCCCGGUGUAGCGGUGAAAUGCGCAGAUAUCAGGAGGAACACCGGUGGCGAAGGCGGUUCUCUGGGCAUUACCUGACGCUGAGGAGCGAAAGUGUGGGGAGCGAACAGG
rnacentral:rRNA from 1 species